ensembl:lncRNA
AAAAUUACUGGAAAAUCAUAAAACUUAGAUAGCUGAAAACUGAAAGGCUUUCAUGAGCUUCAACUCAGUCAGUUUGGAUCACAGCAUCACUAUGCCUCUACAGCUGUGAUGUGGCACAUCAGCUACAGAAAUUUCCCAGACUGUCUUGCUUUUGUUUAGCUGUGCCCCAAGGUCAUAUGAAAGCUUGCAGCUAGAGUUUCCCUUUGAACAUAAUUUCAUGAAAAUAUUUCGAUCUCAGGGUACAGCUGAGGCUCUUCCUUACUGGUAGCUUGCCUGGUGAUUUCUAAGUACUGUUGCCAUAGACUGAAGUUUGCAGCUGAUGAAACCACCCAGGAAUAUUACAAGCCUAGAUACAGAUGUAUAUGUUUAUUUACUCAAUAGGCUUAUCAGGCAUUUGCCAAUCAGGAGUACCAAUUUAAGUGAGAAUUUAUGUCAUAUAUCCAGAUAUAAAGAGGUAUAAGGGAAAUUAUGGACUAGAGUAUGAGCAGAGACAACACCCAUCACCAGCAACUAUCAGCUGUAGCAGUUAGCAGAGCUCAUUGCCUUGGUUCAGCAAAGAGCUAAAUAAUUAUUUUACAUCAUUUACAGCCUCCCUAGGAUGAUGACAAUUAGACUGUUGUUGAUGCCAAUGUAGUCAAAAGUAGCUGGGUUACCACUAUUAUGUUGGUAGUAGCAGACCCUUUUAUCUUAUAAUUUGUAUAGUGAUUGGGAAACAUGAUGUCCAAAAAGAGUAUGCAUGUGUAAGGUUUUCCUUAGAGCUGGUGAAACCACGCCCAGGUAGAACCUGCUGCUUUUUGAGCCUUUUCCAUUACAGGUAUAAAUACCCCAGGGGAGGGAAAAAAAAAAAAAAGGGAAAGGCAAAAAAACAAAACAAAAAUGAAGCAUAGUUCAGUCUUGUGUACCCAGCCAUAAUGCAUGCCAAGUGCUUCAGGCAGACAAACAUUCUCACUGCUGAGAUGCAAAACUCCUCUGGAGUUAUCUGGAUAAUUAACAAAAUAAAUAACAUGAAAAGUAAAUCUGUACAUAUGUAAGAAAACUGAGCCGCAUCACAACUGAUGUGAUAUUUGAAAGAGUUUAGAAGUUUGAAAGAUUUUUAUUUUAAGUGGAGCAUGACUACCCUGGGGCCUCUUCUGCUAAUUAGUCAGCUGCAAAUGAAGUAUAGCACAGCUCUCACCCAGUAGAUGCAGGGAUUUAUCUGUCAGUCAAAUGUAGAGGUCACCCAAGCAGAGACACACUUCACGGUGACAUCAAGAGUCUUGAUUUGCUGUUCUCAUUCUGGAAAGCAAUCACACUGCAGUGACUAGAGGCAACUUACACAAACACAAUGAUGUUAACGCAAUUGGAAAUGUGAAGCCUUAUUGCUUUGCACUGAAGUGGCCCAGUUCAUGUUAGAAAUACAGGACAAUAAUUAAAAAUUUAUUAGUAAGAGUGACCCACAGCUAUAUUUUGUUGAUGGAGGUUAUAAAAGCACCUAAUUUUGUCAUUCUCCCCCUGAAGUGUGUGACAAAGCAGAAGAAACUUGGGUUAGUUAUGCUAAAGUUCGAAAUUAUUUCUGACUCAGUUUAUAAUUAUUUGUUCCUAGGUUUUCCUCCACAUAAAAAUUACUUUUUUUUUCUAGGUUUGGAAAUUUAAUGCUUCGUUUACCAGGUUAGAGGUAACAAGAUGCACUUUCACAUUUGUUCAGCAAACCCAAAUGGCAGAGGGAUUUUUUUUGUGUCCAACAAAGGUCAAAAUAUCUCUGUUAGUAAUCAAGCCAUCAACUGGCCAAAGAAUGUAUUACUCAUGUAAUAAGCUUGUUGCUAGACUAGGUGAAAGCAAUGGCCUAGGUAACACAGCUCUUGUGUUAUUUGUUGCAUGGUAGCAGAAAAAGCAGACAAGAGUACUCAUUUCUUGCUAAUGCCUUCAGAUUCAUUAUAAAUGAGGAAAAUGAAAUUAAUGGGUUUGAGUUUAUGGUGAAUUUCCAUUAGGGGAUUGUGCUCUAGCUGCCAACUCAUCUGUAUUUCCUACAAAUUAAUGGUUUAACCACAGUGUCAUUGUUGUUUGUAGAAAAUAAUUGAUCAAGCCAUGUAAAAGGUUUUGUAAAAGCAUUAAAAAAAUGUGAAAAUUCCCAGUUGCCUCCUCUUGCUUUUAGGACAAUGAUCUAUAACUACUUCUGCUUGAUCCUAAAUUGAUGUGUAAUUUUCAGAGAUUGUGAUAUAGGAUGUAUUCAUGGUUUCACAGUACCAGGAGUUAGAGAAAUGAGACGUUGGAAAGGAAAAACCUUUGUCAAAACACAGAUUCAUAUGUGCUGCAUGUUGUGACAAAAUACAGUUGUAGUACAAGGAAGCAGUUACACACCUUCUCAAAGAGCAUUCAGAAUGAAAAGACAAAUGAGCUGCUUGUCCACAUAUCUGAAUUAUUUUGCUGUCAUGCAAUCAUUUCUCAGAAGUGCUUUGUGUAGGACGGAGUAUGGGUUAUACAGAGGGGAAAACAAGGGUUACAACGAAGGAAGAACAACUUUAAUCACAGAAUUUGUUAACUCUGUCAGAACAACACUGCCCUGAAGGGACUUCAGGAGGUCACUUGCUGGUUGACAGUCAGAUUCGCAAAAUGUUUGUGUAACCCUUGCUAAGACUCCUUCUAUUACAGCAAUGUCACACCAUUCCCAUGCCACUUAGUCCUUUAGUAUCCUAAUAAUGUUUAUUUCUUAAUAGCUUGCCUGAACCUUGCUGCAUUUUGAGCCCAUUAUUUCUUGCCCUACUUCAUUAGGUCAUGGAAAAGAAACUAUUUCUUUCAGAUAUGGAUCUACAAUCCAAGGACUAAUAGAGGCCAGCACUAGACACCUCUACAUAGUCUCAUAGGAUGUGAAAGCUGAGAAACAUUCCAGUACAGUCAAUUACUGCAGAAUUAAAAGAUGCCCUGUGUGCUUUGUAAUAAUUCUAAUAGUCAGAGCUGGGCCACAAGCUAAGCAUACAGGCAAAGAAAUUUAAGAAGUACUUAAGGACAGACAUGCAUAAUAACCAGUAGGAAGAGCAGCAAACACACAGGGAAGGGACUGGUCAAAUGUAUGCAAAAAGUAAAGGUGACUCAGUGUUGUUGGAUUUAGUAUUGACAAUAUAUAUCACUAGUAUAUUAUAGCGCUUUUGACAUUUUGCAUAAUUAAUUAAAAAACCUGAGCAGAUAGCCCAGUCUUGAGUAGUGUCUGAGUGAAUGAUAGGUGAUAGAGACAGACAAACAGUCAAAAUCAAAAUGGUUUAGUGUGUGGUUUAGACUGUGGAAGGUGCUAAACUGAACAGAAAUCCUUUGUCAACAGCAGCCAGUGGGGAAGGAUGUGCUGGUUUUGGCAGGGGAUAGAGUUCAUUUUUUUCACAGCAGCUAGUGUGGACUAUGCUUUGGCUUUUUGCUGCAAACAGUGCUCAUAAAACAGAGAUGUUUUCAUUACUGCUGAGCAGUGCUUAUACAGUGUCAAGGUCUUUUCUGCCUCUCACACCACCCCACCAGCAAGGGAGGGAGCUGGACAAGCACAAUCUGGGAAGGGAUACAACUGGGGCAGCUGAUCCCAACUCACCCAAGGGAUAUUCCAUACCAUGUGGUGGUGUGCUCAGCAUAUAGAGCUGGGUGAGGGAGAAGAAGGGAGAGAGGCAUAUUCAGAGCAAUGGUGUUUGUCUUCCAAAUAACCAUUACAUGUGAUGGAGCCCUGCUUUCCUGGAGGUGGCUGAACACCUGCCUGACCACGGCAAGUGGUGAAGGAAUUCCUUGUUUUGCUUUGCUCGUGUGCACAGCUUUGGCUUUAACUAUUAAACAGACUUUACCUCAACCCAUGAGUUUUCUCACUUUUACAAUUCUCUUCCCCAUUGCAGCCGGAUAGAAAGGGGAGUGAGCAAGGGGCUGUGUAUUGCUCAGUUGCUAGAUGAGGUUAAACCAUGGCAGAGGCUCCCCAGCACUUUCCUUCCUGUUUAGAGAAUAUGAAGUAUAUAUUCUGCACAGAGACUGAGAAGUCUUCCCUUAUCUCACUUUGCCAUUUCUUGUGAAGGCCUGUCUCAAUAGAUAGCAUAUAUCCACACUGGAGACUGAUAGAAUACAGUGAGCACUCCUAACACUGAAAGAAAAGCCUUGCCUCAGCUCACCCCAUCUCACUAAGGCUUUUCUGUCUGUACAAGAAUAAUUACAGAGAGAGAGAGAGCUUUCACCUCACCUCACCUUGUGAGGCCUUUUCCCCUGUGCAGUACAAAUUACCUCUCUGUGUGUUCCAGGGUACAUUUAUACCUAAAAUAGCAUAUAUUAUCUAUACAGACAAAAAUGUCUCAGGCAAAAUAAGGACAUGUAUUGCAUAUGUACAUGUCUGUGCCCUGAGACAGGGACACGGAGCAGCCUCACAGAGUCAGUCAGAUUGAAAGGGACCACAGUGGCUCAUCUGGUCCAGCCUCCCUGCUCAAGCAGAGUCACCCUAGCGCACGUGGCAUAGGAUUGCAUCCAGAUUAUUCUUGAGCAUCUCUUGAUAGCGAAGUGAGAGAGAACCCCACAACUUCUCUGAGCAAUCUGCUCCAGUGCACAAUCACUAUAAAAUUCUUCCUCAUGUUCAGGAGGAACUUCCUGUGCAUCAGUUUCUGCUCAUUGCCUUAUAUCCUAUUGUUUGGCAUCACAAGGAAGAGCCUGGCUGCAUCCUCUUGGCAUCCCUAGUUGAAGUAUUUAUAUGCUAUAUAGAAAUAUAUUUAGAUAUAUAUUAAUGAAAUCCUCUCUCAGUUGUCUCUUUCUCCAGGUUAAAAAGCCUAGCUCGCUCAGCCAUUCCUGGUAAGUGAUGCUCCAGCCCCUCAAUCAUCUUUGUUGUCCUCCACUGGUCCCACUCCCGGAGCUCCAUGUCCCUCUUGUGCUGAGGAGCCCAGAACUGGACACAGCACUCCAGAUGUGCCUCACUAAGGCCGAGGAGAGCGGCAGGACCACAUCCCUCUCCUCGCCCUGCCCCGGCCUGCCCACGGAGUCACAGACGAG